rnacentral:rRNA from 1 species
CCUACGGGUGGCAGCAGUAGGGAAUAUUGCUCAAUGGCCGAAACGCUGAACCAGCAACGCCGCGUGAAGGAUGAAGGUUUUCUGGUUUUUAACUCCUUUUUUUAGAGGAGUUAAUGUCUGUAUCUGAGGAAUAAUCACCGUCUACCUCCGUUCCAGCAGCCGCAGUAAUACGGAGGGUGCAAGCGUUAUCCGGAGUCACUGGGCGUAAAGAGCGCGUAGGCGGGAUAGCAAGUCAGCUGUGAAAUCUUAUGGCUUAACCAUAAAGUUGCAUUUGAAACUGUAAUACUAGAGUAUGUGAGAGGUAGGCGGAAUGCUUGGUGUAGCGGUAAAAUGCGUAGAGAUCACGAAGAAUACUGAUUGCGAAGGCGACCUGCUAGACCAUAACUGACGCUGAUGCGCGAAAGCGUGGGGAUCAAACAGGAUUAGAUACCCUUGUAGUC